rnacentral:tRNA from 1 species
GGAGAAAUGGCUCAGCAGUUAAGAGCACUGGAUGCCCUUCCAGAAGACCUGGGUUCAAUUCCCAGCACCC